rnacentral:rRNA from 1 species
UACGUAGGGGCGAGCGUUGUCCGGAAUGAUUGGGCGUAAAGGGCGCGUAGGCGGCUUGUUAAGUCUGGAGUGGAAGUCCUCUUUUCAAGGGAGGAAUUGCUUUGGAAACUGGCGGGCUUGAGUGCAGGAGAGGUUAUCGGAAUUCCCGGUGUAGCGGUGAAAUGCGUAGAGAUCGGGAGGAACACCAGUGGCGAAGGCGGCUUUCUGGCCAGUUACUGACGCUCAUGCGCGAAAGCUGGGGUAGCGAACCGGAUUAGAUACCCCGGUAGUCCCUGAGCGGGCU